rnacentral:lncRNA from 1 species
AUAUUUAUGUAUAUAUAUAUUCGUGCGUGCAUGUGUGUGCAUGCAUAUAUGCUUGUACAUAUAUGUAUGUAUAUCCAUAUCUAUGUAUUUAUGGAGACUGCACACUUUUAUUUUAAUUUUUGUUUUUCUCAAUUGAUGCAACCACACAAACCUAAACCAGUGUGUUAUUAUUUGAAAUAUGUCGCUAUUUUGCCAUCACCACCACCACCACCACCACCACUACUACUACUAUUACUACUAAUGCUAUUAUUAUUACUACCACCACUACCACUAAUAUCACUGCAACUACUGUUGUUUUUAACGUUGUUGUUAUCACUGCCUGCCAUAUUAUUAUUACCAUUAUUUUUAUUAUUAUUAUUAUUAUUAUUAUUUACCAAAGUCAGGGUUGCUAACACCUGUGAAAUUCUGCACCACCAUAUAACUACCACCAUCCAUUCUUUGUGUUGCUAAUGUACCUGAAAAGGUUCGCUACUGUCAGAGUGGUGUCAGCGAAACGUGUAGCCACUGUUGUUGCUAACCGAAAGCAACACAGCUGGCGUUGCUAAUGCUAGUUGCCAUUCUGGAAUCGGUUACAAAUACUGUUGCUAACGAUUCUGUACAGUUGUGAGAGCAGCAAACCUUGUUAAUGCUUGUUACUGCUCAUUUAUAAGAUAGCUGUUUGUGCUAUUGACAGUGUACAAUUGUGAGAAUAGGUUGUUGUUGCUAAUGCUAGUUACCAUUUAAGACUGCGAAUGCUGUUGCUAAAAGUUUUGCAGCUGAAUCGUUAUUGGUAAUGACCAUUAUAAAACAACAGCUCAGUUGAUGUUGGAAAUGCUAGCUGCCAUUAUAAAAUGAUUGCAAAUGCUGUUGGCAUUGCUAAUGGUAUUUGCCAUUAUAAAAUUGGCUGCAGAUACUGUUGCUAACAGUUGUGGGAACAACGGCUGUUUUUAAAGCAAACGACUGUUCUCAAACAGCUGCUAAUGCUGUUGCUAACGACAGUUUGCAACUUUGAGAGCAACUCGACUGUUGUUGCUAACAAAUGUUGUCAUUCUAAAAUGGCUGCAAGCACAUUUGGCGUCGCUAAUGCAAGGAUGGAAAGCACAGUUGUGAGUUAGCAUCAACAGCUACAGUUUCCUGAUAGCUGCUCAGCUCCCCCCCCCCCCCACUACCAGCCCCGUUGCAAGCAGUGUUGCAAGACUGCAAGAGAGUGCCACCACCGUUUGGUAAAUGCUGGAGAUUUCCAUGGUUUAGUGAUCUUGCAAUUUCCGAGUCUCAAUGCAGCUCUGCAAUUGAAGAGACGCUCUUUCUUUAUCAGCUGCAGUCAAACAGCUUUGCAUCAGUUGCAACAAUCACAUGAGGUGCAGUAGCAUUGUUACUGCACUCAGGUGAACCAUGGGGCCAUAAAGCUGGAAACGCAGGCUGGUGUGUGCUGCCAGCCAGAAACGCCUGUUCCUGAUGCACCCUAAUGCACAAUGUUGUCUCCGUCACUGAGAGCAGCAUGUAUUUUUAGUUGCACUACUUUCGCUUCUUCUAAGGUUGGGCAUCUCUCCAAAACUGUUGUGAGUCGACUUGCAACAUGGCAUGGAUCACACAACAUCAAACAUCUUUUUCUAUCAAUUUGUAACAUUUAUUAUUUUUCCGUUUUAUAUACACACACACACACACACACAAUAUUUUAUACAUCCAGACAUCUAUAUUUUUUUUUUUGUAGAUUUUAAAAUUCUUAUUUCAUUUUAAACUUGUUUUCAUGUCAAAAUUUAUAUAAUUGACUCUGAGUGUGUGUGUACCAUUGCUCCACUAAUAUAUGUGUACAUAAAGAUAUAAUAUAUAUAUAUAUAUAAAAUCAAAAUAAGCAACAAGUAUAUCCAAGGUAAUGUGGUGUGAUUGUUUCAUGCUGCUUCAUUUUAUUAAACACUGUAAGUAUUACAUCAGUUUUUAAAUGUUGAGCAAUCUUCGGCCACUUAUAGCUCGACAUUUUAAAACUGAUGUAAUACUUACAUUGCUUAAUAAGAUGAAGUAGCGUGAAAUGAUCAUACCACAUGACCUCAGAUAUCCUUGUUGCUUAUUUUGAUUAUAAUCACCCCAUGGAUUUAUAUGGAUAAUACCAUACAAAAUUCUGGUGCAUUUGACUUAAGUACCAUAUUCAUCUGAAUCUGUAUAUAUAUAGGUAUAUAUACAUAUAUAUAACAUACACACAUACAUAUAUAUAUAUGAUCAUACAUACUCAUAAACACACACAUAUGUACAUCAUUUUAUGACCGUUAUAUGUUUAUAAUGUUACACGUUCAAAUGAAACCUCUCUAGAAUUGGAGAAUACUAAUUAAUACUCACACGAGAAAUAUACGAUUCAGUCCCUGAUUGGCUGAUAUUAUUUUGCCAUUUUUCUACUUCUUGAUAUCACCAUGUUUGUCUGAUUUCUAUACAUAUGUGUGUAUGGCUGUUUGAGCACAUAUAUAUACAUAUAUAUAUAUAUAUAUAUAUAUAUAUAUAUAUAUAUAUAUAUAUAUAUAUAUAUAUAUAUAUAUAAUGUAUGGAUAAUAUAUGUAUAUAUAUAUAUAUAUAUUGAUUUUUAUCUAGUGUGUGUCCGUGUGUCCAUUGUUUUUGUUUUUUUUUUCUUUUUGAUUAAUGAAUGACAUAAGUUAAAAAUUACACUACACUCUGUGUAUUGAGUCCUUUACUGUAUGACUGAUCUUAAUCUUCAGAUUAAGAUAUUUACGCAUGCACUCUGUGUGAGUGUGUGUGCGCAUGCGUAUGUAUAUAUAUAUAUAUAGUAUGGAUAUAUAUGCAUAUAUAUAUAUAUAUAUAUAUAUAUAUAUAUAUAACAUGUAUACAUAUGUGUGUGUGUGUGCACAUGCGUGUGUGUAUAUAUAUAUAUAUAGUAUGGAUAUAUAUGCAUAUAUAUAUAACAUGUAUGCAUAUGUGUGUGUGUGCGCAUAUAUAUAUAUGCAUUUAUAAGCACACACAUGCGUAUGUAUGUAUGUAUGUUUAUAAUGACUUUGUGUGAACGCUGUGUGUGUCUGUGUGUGUUGAUAACCAUUUACACACUCUACACACCUAUAUAUAUAUUUACUCACACAUGCACACAAUACCUGCCUGAAUUCCCAUUGUAUUGUGUGACCACCACCCCUCCAAAAAAAAAAUAAAACCACAACAAACUCCCCCCCCCCUUUCACAAUUUCUGAAAAUGAUGAAGACAAGGCAAUUUAUUUGACUUUGUUUCCCUUUUUUUUUAAUGGUUUUUUUCUCUGCUUUUCUUCUUUUGUUGUAUUUCUAUUUAUUUAACCAAUUCUGUGGUAUUUGUUUCCUUUUUUUUUUCGUUUGUUUGUUUGUCCUUUUUUUUUUUUCUAACUUCAUUAAAAACGCCCUCCCCCCUUCCCUCCCACCCACUAAAUCUGCCUCUACAACCUUGAGGUAACAAGCUCUUUGCCCUCACCCAAUCUUUCACCCCCACCACCAAAAAAAAAAAAUCACCAAAUUUAACCUUCUAUAUGAAAUAUGAAAUACUGGAGACAAACUCCAAAAUUUUGCUUUGAUUACGCUCCCCCACCCCUGUUUAUACUACAAGUAUUAACCCUAAGAGUUUGUUUGUUUGUUGUUUAUAUUUAUUUUCUGU